rnacentral:rRNA from 1 species
UACGGAGGGUGCAAGCGUUAUCCGGAUUCACUGGGUUUAAAGGGUGCGUAGGUGGGCUGGUAAGUCAGUGGUGAAAUCUCCGAGCUUAACUCGGAAACUGCCAUUGAUACUAUCAAUCUUGAAUCAUCUGGAGGUAAGCGGAAUAUGUCAUGUAGCGGUGAAAUGCUUAGAUAUGACAUAGAACACCAAUUGCGAAGGCAGCUUACUACGGGUGUAUUGACACUGAGGCACGAAAGCGUGGGGAUCAAACAGG